UGCAGUCGAACGUGAAAGCACUUCGGUGUGAGUAGAGUGGCGGACGGGUGAGUAACGCGUGGGAAUCUACCCAGUAGUGGGGGACAACUACCGGAAACGGUAGCUAAUACCGCAUACGCCCUAUGGGGGAAAGGCUUCGGCCGCUAUUGGAUGAGCCCGCGUCAGAUUAGCUAGUUGGUAGGGUAAAGGCCUACCAAGGCAACGAUCUGUAGCUGGUCUGAGAGGACGAACAGCCACACUGGGACUGAGACACGGCCCAGACUCCUACGGGAGGCAGCAGUGGGGAAUAUUGGACAAUGGGCGAAAGCCUGAUCCAGCAAUGCCGCGUGUGUGAAGAAGGCCUGCGGGUUGUAAAGCACUUUCAGUUGGGAAGAUGAUGACGUUACCAACAGAAGAAGCACCGGCUAAAUCCGUGCCAGCAGCCGCGGUAAUACGGAUGGUGCGAGCGUUAAUCGGAAUUACUGGGCGUAAAGCGCGCGUAGGCGGCUAAGUCAGUC
rnacentral:rRNA from 1 species